rnacentral:rRNA from 1 species
UACGGAGGGUGCAAGCGUUAUCCGGAUUCACUGGGUUUAAAGGGUGCGUAGGUGGGUCUGUAAGUCAGUGGUGAAAUCUCCGGGCUUAACCCGGAAACUGCCAUUGAUACUAUAGGUCUUGAAUCUUCUGGAGGUCAGCGGAAUAUGUCAUGUAGCGGUGAAAUGCUUAGAUAUGACAUAGAACACCAAUUGCGAAGGCAGCUGACUACGGGAGCAUUGACA